rnacentral:rRNA from 1 species
UACGAAGGGUGCAAGCGUUACUCGGAAUUACUGGGCGUAAAGCGCACGUAGGCGGCUUUGUAAGUUAGAGGUGAAAGCCCGGGGCUCAACUCCGGAAUUGCCUUUAAGACUGCAUCGCUAGAAUUGUGGAGAGGUAAGUGGAAUUCCGAGUGUAGAGGUGAAAUUCGUAGAUAUUCGGAGGAACACCAGUGGCGAAGGCGGCUCACUGGUCCAUUACUGACGCUGAGGUGCGAAAGCGUGGGGAGCAAACAGG